ACAAGGAGCUAAGGGGCUCCCAGGUCCUCCAGGACGCCCCGGGGUUAAAGGCAAUCGAGGACUCCAAGGCCUCAGAGGUUCUCCGGGACCCAAAGGGAAGCAGGGCAAUAUUGGGCCACCUGGUCGCCAUGGGAGCAGAGGCUUACCAGGUCUUCCUG